CUUUCUUUCUCAAGUCUGCCCCUGGCUGUGUGGGAGACAUGGAUCUACACGCGAGAGAUAGUCGUUAUGACCUUAUUGCUCAAUUUGAUGGGGGAGUAGUUAUACACCAACACCGCUGAUCUUUUGAGAAAUGAGGUACUACAGAAGACCUUGGGCCAACUGGGCUUCCUCACCGCCCUGGCCUUCAGCGGUAAUAUAGCAACACCAUGUUUGAGAUGCUACCAAGAAUGGCCUCCUGAUCCCAGACAAAAAUGAGCAGGGCUUCAACAGGUUUAAGCUGCAACAAAGAAUGGCCUUCUGAUCCCAGACCUGAGCAGGGCUUCAACAACAGCCGAAUGAAUCUUCAAGGGAUGACUUGAGGAGCCGCAGCCUUUCACUAUAAGAAAUGGCAAGAUUGUGCAGCUGCGAGGACAGACACCUGUUGACCCUAAGCUGCUGUCACUCACCCUGGAAUAAAAAUAACUGUUGCUUCUGAGAAUCGUACACCUAAAAUCAGCUCCCAGCACUGCAACAUACACAGCCAAAAAAACCACUUAAUUGUCACAGUAUAACACAAAGUCCGUUAAACUUCAGAGAUAUCAGUCUAUUUAGGAAGCACAAGUAAUGGUAAAUCAAUUUCACCUACUUUGAUGAAAAUGGCAAGCGGUGUAAUGGAGAGGUUAAAGCAAGACCACUCCCAAGAAGGCAAUAUGUUUGCAUGUGGUCCUCGUGUUCCCCUAACUUAAAUCCUAUUGAGAACCAAUGAGGCGUUAUGUAUCAGGCAUCCGAUGCUGCCAAGUACUGCCCCAGAGUGUCCAGGAGGUCAUUGAUGCCCUAAUCCAGGUCUGGGAGGAGAUUCGGAAGACUCAAUCCGCCAACUCAACAGGAGCAGGCCCAGAUGUCAGGACUGUAAGGCAGGCAGAGGCCAUACUUAUUACUGAGUCCCAUUAUGAGUUGUGGCAGCUUGUGGUUUAAAUGUUUGACUUUCACUGUAGUUUUGAUACCGUCUGUCAAUGUGUUGAUGAUUUUGGUUUCCACUGAUUUCAUUCUAAACAAAUCACACAGAUUUUCAACUUUAAUAGGUGGUUCAUCAAGAUCUGAUGUGUGAUUUAAGUUUUUCCUUAUUUUUUAAUGUAGCAGUUUAUUUAGCCUGAUUUGUAUGUGUACUCAAUAAACUAUCAUUAUCCAAA